rnacentral:lncRNA from 1 species
AAAUUAUUUUUUUAUAUUUUAUAUUUUAUAUUUUAUAUAUUUAGAAUUUUAUUUUUUAAAGUUUAGUUUUUUAGAAUUUAGAUCAAAUUUUUAUUUUUUUGAAUUUAUAUAUUUUUUAAAAAUUUUAUUUCUUAAAAAUUUUAAAAAUUAAUUUUUUAGAAUUUUAUAUUUUAAUUUUUCAAAAAAUAUUUUUUAAAAUUUUAUUUAAACAUUUAUUUUCCAUGUUUU